rnacentral:lncRNA from 1 species
CCAUCAUUAAAUAAUCAACACAUAAAAACAUUCAAAUAAAUGAUAUGGACGUCUUUAUGCAUACUUAUGAAGUAUGUGCACCUUUAGAAGUAAGACACACAAUCCAGACACAGGAAAAUAUAAGAUUUAUUAAAAUGUAUAAAAACCAAAUAUCAGAAUGAAAAUAUAAAUAUGGCAUUGAAAUAGAAACAAUACAUACUCUGCUAUGACAAACAGAGUGAAACAGCUCAAGUGAACUGACAAAAAUAUUGUUACCUGUAGUGUCAGGGAGAAAAGAGGAACAAGAAAUCUACAAUGGAAGCUAAAAUCUUCAAAUGCAUCACCUUUUAUGAUUUUGACUUCAGUUCCAUGUAAAUAUUUUAUAUAUACAAAACAGAUUUGAAACAAAACAAAGUAAUACAACAAAUUUCCAAAAUGUAAAAAUGAAAACUGAACAGUUAAACUAGCUGUAUAAAUGUUGGCAUGAACAAAUAGAGAAAAAUUAUUUCAAAUGAUUUUGUGGAAAAAGUAUUCUCAUUAUGUACCCAAAAAGGAAAGAAAGAGAGAGAAAAACAAGGAAGGAAGGAGGAAAACAAGGAAGGAGAAUGGAUGGAAGGAAACAAGGGAGGAAGGGAGGAAAGGAUGGAUGGAGGGAGGGAGUUAGGGAGGGAGAGAAAAAUAAAAACAAGCAAAGAAGUAAGAAAAAAGAGAGAGAGAAUAAAAGGGAGGGCAGAGGGAGAGAAUGUUCAACUGCAUACCUAGGCCUAGUGUUUUAGUGGUCAUUAUACUAUUGCUUAUAUUGUUAUAGACAUAAGGAAUAAGCACCACUCUCAGCUGUGAUCUCUGGACCAUGACUGGAUAAAUGAUUCAGUAUAAAUAACCUUCCUAUUUGCUGUCCAAAAUAUCUAGAUUCGCAGCUGGACCCUAGUUGUACCUGUCUGUCAUAGGAAGCAGAGUGAGUGGGCCUCCCCCAUGUCCUAGGAGAGCUGAGAGAACCUUACUCUCAGCCAGGCUGCUUAACUGAGGCCCGGAGAUGGCAGCUUGAUCUUCAGGAAAGUUGUGGGGGAGGGGUAGGGAACAGGGUGCAGCUGCUGCCAGGACAGUGUGAUAUUAGGAGGGAGAUCAGGAGUUAAGCUGUCUUUCUCUUGUUCAGAAUACAGUAAAUUUGGUGGCAGGAAAUGAGAGGGGGCGGCUCUAUCUUGUGUACCAGAGGCAGCCACAAGGCAGAUGUUCAGUGUGGUGUAGGGCAGAUCUGAAUCACUGUGCCUGCCCCAGGUGGCACAGUAAUAGACCCCAGAAUCAUUUUCAAUUAGAUUUUGCAGUCUCAAAUUCCAGCUCCACCUCCUCGGUGUAUGAGUAUAAUACUUUCCAAGACUGAGACCUGAUUCCAACACAUCCCUUGAGUUGGAGACAUCAUAGUGCAGAAGAUGCUGUGGGGUCUUCCCCUCCUGCUGUAGGUACCAGUGGAUGUAGACGGCAUUUAUUACAGUAAGGUCACAAGUGAUUUCAGCAGAUGACCCAGUCGGCCUGGUGACUGACUUCAUUCUCCCUUCCAAGUUGGAAGAUUUCUGACUGGCUGCAAUGGGAAAAACAUAAAAUAUAAUGAGGUAUUCCUUUGUAUGGCACCCCUUUCAAAAGAAGAAAACAAAACAAAACCCAACCUGUGAGCCUCUCUGUAGGCAGCACACUCACCAGGAUACAGGAAAGCUAGAAGCACCGCUAGGGCUCACCGCAUGCCUUCCUUUCUGGGGCCUUGGAAGGAAAGGGACCAGAUGAAAAGGAGUAGAAGAUCCUCUCAAAACUCAGGUCCCACUCAACAAGGAAGUGAUCCCUAGCACAGAAGACAGUAGGAGGAGCUGGUAUUCCUGAGACACAGGCAGAGAGAAGUGACUGAGGAUGUGUCUUAGGGGACUCCCAAGCCUUCCUCCCAGAAGGGGUGGUUCCUGGGAGGACCUGCAGAGGAGCUCCUGUGUCUCCUCAGGCCCUUUCUUCGGCGCCCUCUUGUGGCAGCUGAGAGCAGGCCCAGGGCAGAAGGGAGGCAGGGGCAUUGAGAGUUCAGGCCUCCAGCAGAGGGACUGCAGAUUUAGGGGAAGCUGACCCUGGAAUUAACAGGCUCAGACCUUGGAGGGGGCAGUCCCACAACAGGCUCCUACCCUGCCCUUCAGAGUUGCAGCAGCUAAUGCUGAUGCCAGGACCUUGUCCUGACAGGAAGCCUCUGAUUAGGGCCCUGAACCAAGUUCCUUUUCGCAUCUGCAGACACAUGGAGGCAACCACUCAAGGCCACUCUGAGAAGGGUUGAACGUGCUUUAAAUUAAAAGGACUGAGGAUCAUGUGUGUUGGUGUGUCUUGGACUCUGCUCUAAGGUAAAUGUGUGUGUGUGUUGGGGGGGGUGAGUUGUGCCUGUAAUCCUGUGUGUGUGACCUCCUUAUUAGAGGAUUUUUGUUCAUUAAGUAGGAAUGUGAGUUUGUUUGUUUGCUUGUUUGUUUUUAAAGUAGUACUGGGUGCCAUGUCAUGCAACAUUUGGAACAUACUUAAACUAAAAACUUGUUAUUUAUCUGAACUUCCAAUUCUCUGCGUAUUGUAUAUUUUAUUUGUCAUCCCUACCCUCAGAAAGCAGACUAAUAUCUGCAGUGCACCUGGAUUCACAGAUGAAAAUAAGGGGACAAAUCAAGUACAGUAAUAUUAUUGUGAAAAUUCAGUAAGGCAUUCACAGAUUAUCACCACCUCUGUAAGAAGUAUAUAGAGACACAUGUUUGAAAUAUGCAUAAUGAGAUGGAGAACAGUGUCCCUCUCAGUUGUUGUGUUGGGCUAGCUCAGAGAAUUCAGUUUCUGCUGUCAUCACAGCUGGGAAUGAGAAAGGGAGGGGGCUCUGGUUGGUCUCCCUCUGCCUCUGGAGCACACAUGCAGGACAAGAGGCUGCUGUAGGAGCAGCUCUGAAAGCUGAGUUCUCGGGUCCUUGUGAAGGAGGGAAGCUUGCCUGCCUUGGAGCGUGAAAAAGUCUUGCUGGACAGAAGUCUCAUGGUUUAAAAAUGGGAAGGGAGAGGAUUGAGAUCACACUAGAAUGCACAGAAAAUUCUUAAAACAAAAAAAUAAUGAGAGAAAUUUCAUCAGAAUGUGAAAAGAACUAUAAAGCUACAGUGCUGAAGAGAGGGCAAUACUGGCACUAGAAUGAGAAGAUUCAUGGAACACAGUGGAAAAUGCAGUAAGAGAGCUGCAUGUAUGUAAUAUUUUAUCAUGUGAUAAAGUGAUAUAUUAAUAUUCACAAGGAAAUAGUCAAUUAUUUAAUAAGUUCUCUUUUAGGUAUUGACUUACCAUAUGGAAACAAAUAUUGUCGCAUUUCUACCUUACCAGUUACAAAUAGUGAUUUAGUUGUAAUAAAAUGAAAAUCAAUAGACUUAAACGAUGAUGAAUUGCAUACAGAUUCUGGGUGAGAUUGGCCUUUCUAAGCUGACAUCAAACUAGACUCCCUAGAAAAAUUGAUGGGUUUUAUUGUUUUUUUUUCAAAGUUGAAUUCACUAAAAGGUGCCAAAUGUAAAUAAUAACAAAUGAGGAGUAAUAUCUUCAACACAUUGGAUAAAGGGUCAUCAUCUCUAAAAUAGUACAUAUUAAUUCUUACGAACCAAUAAGAAAAAAUUAAUCCUCCAAAGGGAGAAUAGGCAAAGAGUACGACAAGGCAAUUCUCAAAAGAAGAAUUAUAAAUGACCUAUAACGUUGUCAAAUAUUGCUAGUACUCCUAAAGAUGGGGGAAUGCAAAUCGAAUUAACAAAUCUCAUUUUUGGAACCACAGAGCUUGGAUUGCUAUCAUAAUCAAAUUAAAAUAUAUGGCUUAGGGAAUGUUAAUUAACCCCCCAUUUUCUUAUGUUUCAUUCAACAGUACUUUAAACCCUUAAUGAAGUUUCUGUGUAGAUUAAAUAAAAUAUGCAUGUAAUGUGCUUAGUACAUUAACUACCAGAAUGUCAGCACCCAUAUGUACCAUCAAUAUUAUUAUUAUCAUUAUUCAUUUUUUUGAGAGAGAGUCUCACUCUAUUGCCCAAACUGGACUGUAGUAGUGUGAUCUUAGCUCACUGAAACCUUCACCUUCCAGGCUCUAGAGAUUCUCCUGCCUCAGCAUCCAAAGUAGCUGGGAUUACAUGUGUGCGCCACUACAGCCGGCUAAUUUUUUGUAUUUUUAGUAGAGACAGGGUUUCACCAUGUUGGCUAAGCUGGUCGCAAUCUCCUGGCCUAAGUGAUCGUAAUGACUGGACCACCCAAAUGCUGGGAUUACAGGCAUGAGCCACCGGGCCUGGCCAGUAUUAUUAUUACUAAUACAGUAAUUAUUGUAUAAAAAUUCCUGAUAGAUCAAUGAUGCCAUCAUUAAAUAAUCAAUGCAUAAAGACAUUCAAAUAAAUGAUAUGGACGUCUUUAUGCAUACUUAUGAAGUAUGUGCACCUUUAGAAGUAAGACACACAAUCCAGACACGGGAAAAUAUAAGAUUGAUUAAAAUGUAUAAAAACCGAAUAUCAGAAUGAAAAUAUAAAUAUGGCAUUGAAAUAGAAACAAUACAUACGGCACUAUGACAAACAGUGAAAAAGCUCAUGUGAACUGCCAAAAAUAUUGUUACCUAUAGUGUCAGGGAGAAAAGAGGAACGAAAAAUCUACAAUGGAAGCUAAAAUCUUCAAAUGCAUCAUCUUUUAUAAUUUUGGCUUCAGUUUCAUGUAAACGUUUUAUAUAUACAAAACAGAUAUGAAGCAAAACAAAGUAAUACAACACAUUUCCAAAAUGUAAAAAUGAAAACUGAACAAUUAAACUAGCUGUAUAAAUGUUGGCAUGAACAAAUAGAGAAAAAUUAUAUCAAAUGAUUUUGUGGAAAAAGUAUUCUGAUUAUGUACCCAAAAAGGAAAGAAAGAGAGAGAAAAGCAAGGAAGGAAGGAAGGAAAACAAGGAAGGAGAAUGGAUGGAAGGAAACAAGGGAGGAAGGGAGGAAAGGAUGGAUGGAGGGAGGGAGUUAGGGAGGGAGAGAAAAAUAAAAACAAGCAAAGAAGUAAGAAAAAAGAGAGAGAGAAUAAAAGGGAGGGCAGAGGGAGACCAUGUUCAACUGCAUACCUGGGCCUAGUGUUUUAGUGGUCAUUAUAGUAUUGCUUAUGUUGUUAUAGACAUAAGGAAUAAGCACCACUCUCAGCUGUGAUCUCUGGACCAUGACUGGAUACAUGAUUCAGUAUAAAUACCCUUCCCAUUUGCUGUCCAAAAUAUCUCGCUUCACAGCUGGACCCUAGUUGUACCUGUGUGUCAUAGGAAGCAGAGUGAGUGGGCCUCCCCCAUGUCCUAGGAGAGCUGAGAGAACCUUGCUCUCAGCCAGGCUGCUUAGCUGAGGCCUGGAGAUGGCAGCUUGAUCUUCAGGAAAGUUGUGGGGGAGGGGUGGGGAACAGGGUGCGGCUGCUGCCAGGACAGUGUGAUAUUAGGAGGGAGAUCAGGAGUUAAGCUGUCUUUCUCUUGUUCAGAAUACAGUAAAUUUGGUGACAGGAAAUGAGAGGGGGCGGCUCUAUCCUGUGAACCAGAGGCAGCCACAAGGCAGAUUUUCAGUGUGGUGUAGGACAGGUCUGAAUCACUGUGCCUGUCCCAGGUGGCACAGUAAUAGACCCCAGAAUCAUUUUCAAUUAGAUUUCGUAGUAUCAAUAUCCAGCUCCACCUCCUGGGUGUAUGAGUAUAAUACUUUCCUGGACUGAGUCCUGAUUCCAACACAUCCUUUGAGUUGGAGACGUCAUAGUACAGAAGACGCUGUGGGGCCUUCCCCUCCUGGUGUAGGUACCAGUGGAUGUAGAAGGCAUUUAUUACAGUAAGGUCACAAGUGAUUUCAGCAGAUGACCUAGUCGGCCUCGUGACUGACUUCGUUCCCCCUUCCAAGUUGGAAGAUUUCUGACUGGCUGCAAUGGGAACAACACAAAAUUUAAUGAGGUAUUCCUUUGUAUGGCACCCCUUUCAAAAGAAGUAAACAAAACAAAACCCAACCUGUGAGCCUCUCUGUAGGCAGCGUACUCACCAGGAGACAGGAAAGCUAGAAGCACCAGUAGGGCCCACCGCAUGCCUUCCUCUCGGGGGCCUUGGAAGGAAAGGGACCAGAUGAGGAGGAGCAGAAGAUCCUCUUAAAACUCCGGCCCCACUCAACAAGGAAGUGAUCCCUAGCACAGAAGACAGUAGGAGGAGCUGGUCUUCCUGAGUCACAGGCAGAGAGAAGUGACUGAAGAUGUGUCUUAGGGGACUCCCAAGCCUUCCUCCCAGAAGGGGUGGUGCCUGGGAGGACCUGCAGAGGAGCUCCCGCAUCUCCUCAGGCCCUUUCUUCUGCGCCAUCUUGUGGCAGUUGAGAGCAGGCCCAGGGCAGAAGGGAGGCAGGGGCAUUAAGAGCUCAGGCCUCCAGCUGAGGGACUGCAGAUGUUGGGUAAGCUGACCCUGGAAUUAACAGGCUCACACCUUGGAGGGGGCAGUCCCAUAGCAGGCUCCCACCCUGCCCUUCAGAGUUGCAGCAGACUCAUGGAGGCAACCACUCAAGGUCACUCUGAGAAGGGUUGAACGUGCUUUAUUAAAAGGACUGAGGAUCAUGUGUGUUGGUGUGUCCCGGAGUCUGCUCUAAGAGCUGCACGGGGGCUUGGAUCAAUGCCUGAAUCCAGUGUUCCUGAGUGCAGAGCAUCUUUGCUCUGGGUGAGCUUUGACCAUCCUGGAGAAGAAGGCUGCUGCGGGGGUGGGACAAAGCCAAGACCAAUGCCCAGCGGCCAAGGCCAGCCAGAUGGCUCUGUGCUGGCAGCCAGUGUACACGGAUUUUACCUGAAGGAAAAUGUCACAUUUUCCACAGACAACUGAAGAAAGAGAGCUCUUUGGAUUACCCUAAUUGUGAUUUACUCAUUGGAACCACUGUUUUGGAUUGUCCAAAAUUAAGUCUCAAAGCUUAAAUAUGAGGCUUCAGGGAGUUAUCCUGAAAUCAGUGCUUGGUAUCUUCUUGUUUUUUGCUUGUUUUUUAAAACCUUAAUUCUCAUAUUUUUCUGUCAUAUUUCUCAGUGCCUGGUACAUUAUCACCAUUAAUCCAUGCCAGUUAUGUACAGUUUUGCAUGUUUGUUUUUUAUUUUACUCUUUUCUCUCCUUCAUUCCCUAUUCCUGUUCCCCCAUAGGUGCCCAGUCUAAUGUAUUUGAUAUCUGUCCUUAGAGCCUCCGUAUCUGUGAAGACUAGAGUCAUGCACUUCAUCACAUUUCAGUAACGAUGGGCCGCAUGUACCACAGUCCCAUGAGAUGAUAGAGGUGCAGAAAAAUUCCUGUCAUCUAGUGACAUCGUAGCCAUCAUAACAUCACAACACGACUCUCAUUUGUGGUGACCCUGGUGUACACAAACCUACUGUACUGCCAGUUGUAUAAAAGUCUAGCACAUCCAGCUACGCACAGUACAUACUUGAAAAUUAUAAUAAAUGACCAUGUUACUGGUUUAUGUAAUUACUAUAUUAUACUUUUUAAUCAUUAUUUUAGAGUGUACAACUUCUACUUGUAAAAAAAAAAAAAGUUAACUGUAAAACAGCCUCAGGCAGGCCCUUCAGUAGGAAUUCCAGAAGAAGGCACUGUUGUCCUAGGAGAUGACAGCUCCAUGUGUGUUACUGCCCUGAUGACCCUCCGUGGGUACAAGAUGUGGAGCUGGACUACAGUGAUAUUGAAGAUCUCGACCCUGUAGGCCUAGGCUAAUGUGUGGCUGUGUCUUGAUUUUUAGCAAAAAUGUUUUAAAAGUGAAAAUGUUAAAAAUAGAAAACAGUUUAUAGAAUAAGGAUAUAAAGAAAAUAUUUUGUACAGCUGUAUAAUUUUUUUUUGUUUUUCUUUUCCUUUUUCUUUUUUUUUUUUGAGACGGAGUCUUGCUCUGUCGCCCAGCUGGAGUGCAGUGGUGUGAUCUCGGCUCACUGCAACCUCUGCCUCCUGGGGUCAAGCGACUCUUCUGCCUCAGCCUCCUGAGUGGCUGGGACUACCGGCAAGUGCCACCAUGCCUGGCUAAUUUUUGUAUUUUUUGUGGAGAUUUUCACCAUCUUGGCCAGGCUGGUCUUGAACUCCUGACCUGGUGAUCCACCCGCCUUGGCCUCCCAAAGUGGUGGGGUUACAGGCGUGAACUACAGGGCCUGGCCUGUUUGUGUUUUAAGCUAAGUGUUGUUAGGAGUCAAAAAGUUAAAAAAUAAAAGUUGCUAAAGUAAAAAAGUUACAGUCAGCAAAAGCUAAUUUAUUAAUGAAGAAAGAAAUGUAUGUUUUGAUCAAUUUAGUGUAGCCUAAGUGUCCAGUGUUUAUAGUCUACAGGAGUGUACAGGAACGUCCUAGGUCUUCACAUCCUCUCACCACUCACUCAUUGACUCACUCACCCAGAGUAGCUUCCAGACCUGCAAGCUCCAUUCAUGGUAACUCCCCUAUACAGGUGUUACAGUACUUAAAAUUUUAUAUCCUAUUUUUACUGUAGGUUGUCUCUGUCUAGAUAUAUUUGGAUACACACAUACUUACCAAUGUGUUACAGUUGCCUGCAGCACUCAGUACAGUAACAUGCUGCACAGCUUUGUAACCUAGAAACAACAGGCUACACCUAUAGCCUCUGUGUAGUAGGCUGUGCCAUCUGGGUUUGUGUUCUACAACGUUGCAUUCUACAAUGUUCACACAAGGAUGAAAUCGCCUAAGGACACAUUUCUCAGAAUGCUUCCUCAUUGUCAAGCAAUGCAUGACUGUAUAUAGAAUUGUUCAUAAAUACUGUGUUUUUCAUCCAUGUAAAUGGCAUGCCAUUUCUACCUAUCCACGUCUGCACACCAGCUCAUGCCCCUCAUUCAUGCUCCUUUCUGCUGCUCACCGCUCCACAGCUGGCAGCCCCUGCAUUCCAUCCAUCCAUUCCCCCAAACAUGGGCAUGUUGCUAUCAGCAGGGAGCUGUGAUGGACCCCUCACAGGGUCCUCUUAUUCCUCGUGCAAGCCUUUCCCUGGGAAGUUCCUCCCAGCAUUGCUGGUCAGGGGGAACACACACUCACAUCUUCACUAAAUGCUACCAGUGCUAUGGUGUUAUCAGAAACUUUAUUUAUUUAUUUUUUGCCAAUAUGAUAGCUAUCAAGCUACCCCAUCUCUACUAAAAAUACAAAAUUAGGCCUUUAGUAGAAACCCUGUCUCUAGUAAAAAUACAAAAAUUAGCUGGGCAUGGUGGCACACACCUGUAAUACCAGCUACUUGGUGGCUGAGGCAGGAGAAUUGCUUGAACCCAGGAGGCAGAAGCUGCAGUGAGCCAAGAUCGCACCACUGCACUCUAGCCUGGGCAACAGAGAACCUGUCUUAAAAACAAAAACAAAAAAAAUGGCACAGGUCUGAUUAUUAGGAAGCUGAGGUUCUUUUUUAUACUUAGUAUUCACUGAAGUGUGAAUUACCUUUCAUGUCCUCUAAACAUACCAACAAGGAGGCUGGAGUUAGGACUUAUGUUAGAGCCAGCCUGCCUGGGGCACAGCCUGGCCCUGCCAUUUAUUGACUGUGUGACUUUGAGAAAGCUUCCUCAUGUAACUCUAUCUUAGCUUCCCUGCCUGUAAUAAGUAAAAACAGCAACUACCUCAUAGAUUUGUAAAGAUUACAUAAAAUAAUACAUGCAAUGCAUGGCAAACGACAGUCAACGAAUGUUAUUAUUAUAUUAACUAUUGCCAUAUUAUAAAUAUAAAUAAAUAUAAAUGAUAUAAA